rnacentral:rRNA from 1 species
UACAGAGGUCUCAAGCGUUGUUCGGAUUCAUUGGGCGUAAAGGGUGCGUAGGCGGCGCGGUAAGUCGGGUGUGAAAUCUCGGAGCUUAACUCCGAAACUGCAUUCGAUACUGCCAUGCUUGAGGACUGGAGAGGAGACUGGAAUUUACGGUGUAGCGGUGAAAUGCGUAGAUAUCGUAAGGAAGACCAGUGGCGAAGGCGGGUCUCUGGACAGUUCCUGACGCUGAGGCACGAAGGUCAGGGGAGCAAACGGG